GACGAACGCUGGCGGCGUGCCUAAUACAUGCAAGUAGGACGCAGUUGCGAAUGGGUGAGUAACGCGUAGGUAAAGGCCUAGGAGAGGGGGAUAACUCUUGGAAACGAUAGCUAAUACCGCAAAAUAGUAAAUGGACCUGCGUUGUAUUAGAUAGUAGGUAGGGUAAUGGCCUCACUAGGCGACGAUACAUAGCCGACCUGAGAGGGUUAGCGGCCAAACUGGGAAUGAGACACGGCCCAGACUCCUACGGGAGGCAGCAGUAGGGAAUCUUCGGCAAGUGGGGGAACCCUGACCGAGCAACGCCGCGUGAGUGAAGGAGGUUUUCGGAUCGUAAAGCUCUGUUGUUAAGGAAGCGGUACUUAACCAGAAAGGGACGGCUAACUACGUGCCAGCCGCCGCGGUAAUUC
rnacentral:rRNA from 1 species